rnacentral:lncRNA from 1 species
GAUUAUUUGGAACCCUUCUAAUUAUCGAACCACCAAUGAAUAAAAACACACUCUCUUAUGUCAAUUUUCUAUCAUCAACAUCAGAUAUAGUCUGAUUUAGUGUAUCCUUCUACCCUCAACUCUUUUCCUACUCUAAAUUCAAGAAUAUAUCCUAAGUUCUUUUAUGUACUUAAGAAUGUUCUUCACAGCUGUCUAGUGCUCUUAGCUUGGAUUCGAUCGAUAUUUGCUCAUGAAGCUCACAGUAAAAGCUCUGUC